CCAUCUUUCUGAUACAGUUGGCUAGGUUGGCCCAGACCAGUUCAGGGACAAGAGGCCAUCAUCCCCUUUACACCCACAUUCAGCCUGCCUUCACACCUACACCCCAACAGUACUACUGUGUUCCUGCAACUAGGCCAGCCUCCCGAGGCCCCUGCUCCCACCUCUUGCCCAAAGGAAAAGCUUGGAAACCCAGCAUGUGGGCCACCCUCACACCAGCACCUGCCCAACUUCCCAUCCAUGUUCCUCCAACUACAUCCACCUAACCCCUUGAACCACUUUCCACUCCCACCUCGUUCCCAACAAAAAACGCUAGGAGCAAGCAGCCUGUGGGUGACCUGCACCUCAGCACCUAACUAACGCCCUCCUCCCUACCAUGUUUUUUCAACUAGGCCCACUUCCCCCUCCUCCCUACCACUACACUCACACCCACCCUAUCCCCUUCCCAUGACCAAAGGAAAGGGCAGAGUAAAGCAUAUGGGGGUCCUCAAACUAAAGCUUUAAUCUGAACACAAGUGGGAGAAGCAAGGGGCAAUGCUGGCCAGCCAAGCAGGGCCAUCUGUGGGAAAGGUUGUGUGGGAAGGACUCAUCAAUGAUGUGCGAUGAUUAGAUGGGGCUGGCAGAUGGGUGGGUCAGCAACCCAGAGCCAAGCAAUGGCAGCAGCAGCAGCAGCAGCAGCAGCAGCAGCAGCAGCAGCAGCAGAACCAGCAGCAGCAGCAGCAGCAGCAGCAGCAGAACCACCAGCAGCAGCAGCAGCACCAGAAGCAGCAGGAGCUAGCACUGAGGACAACUAUGAGGACUACUAUGGGCCUGGGCUAACUGGGAGAUGGUGACAAACUAGAGAAAGGAAGAGUUCUCUGAGCAGCACGUUGCUGUAGAGAGCCAUGUCCAGCAGCUCCCGGAUGAUGAGACUCUGGCUGCCUUGGCAUUGUGUCAUGGCCUGCCAGCUCCAGCAGCCCGUGGGUCAGGAACUCCAGGAUGGCUGUCAGGAAGAUGGGUACCUUUUCGCUCAGCCAUGGCACAUGGCCGCUCUGCUGAAGAUGGUGCUAACGCCAGAGUCGCAGAGAAGUUUUUCAUGGUGUGAAACGCUUGGGUCUUGUCCUCCAAAUUCUAAGAAAAGCAACCCAUUGCUGUUUAGUGAUCCAAAAAUCAAACAUACUGAGCAAGUAAAGGACGUGUUAAUUUUCUACUCUCGUCUUGAACCAAAAAACAAUGGGGUUUCAAACAAAGUUGGUGCCCAGGGGGCUCAGGUCAUCCAGUUGUCCUCUGGAAAAGAAGCCACCCACCCUACAAGAAGCAGACAAUGUGUUGCCCCACCAAUCUGCACAAACUCAGCUGACUCACACCCCACAGCCUUAGUGCAUAGGAAAAAGGCAAGAUUGCAGGGCAACAGAGCUGAUGUUCUGCCAACUUUCUAUGGGCCAGUGUUCCCUUUGUCCAUCACCUCCCACACUCAGAAUGCCCCUGUCCUAGAGGAAGACUUCACCUCUGGUUUGACAUGUGACGGCGAUGUUUGUUGUAGGCACACAGACUGGAAAUGUUAGGGGUUAGUUAGAAGCCUUAACAACCUGUGGGGUUGAAGUGUAUUUCGGAUGAACCAGAAAGAAUCCAAUUGUGCUUCCAUAAAAAAUGAGGGGAACCCAUGCCCGUUUUAAAUCUCAGGUCGCUUACAAGGGCAGAGUUGACACUUCCUCACUGCCGACUCCAGUGAUUUCAUGUUUCCCGGGAAGCUUCACUUAGUUAGGGUUCUGCCCGAGAAGCUCCAUGCCAGUGUUGCUGGGCACGUCCAACAGGCACAGGAGAGAGCUCAGUGAGAAGUGAUAGUUCCCCUCUAACACAGAUACUCUGCCUUUGUGCAAGCACCUCCACUCCUGCAUCAUUUCCC
ensembl:lncRNA